CCAAGUUUAAGCCAUAUGAAAAUGCAUGGACUUCUGUACCUGAGAAGAAACUGGAAAGAAAAAAAAUAACACAGAAUCCAAGCAUGAGCUGAAGAAACUGGAGCCCCAGGAACUGAAGGGACUUCAGACUGCAGCUAGGCCGUCGUGGACAAGCUGACUUCGAAUCAAAACUAAACCACACUAAACUAAAAUUACACAAAGCAUGAGAUUGAGAUAAGGGGAUGACAAGUAUCCAGCUGCAAUCUGCUAAAUAACAUGAUGAUAAAUGUGGGCUCUAUUGCUCCAAUAACAUUGCCGCAGACUUAUCAGAUCAGAAGCUUUUUGGAUCCAUCUGAAUAAGAGGAGUACCUGAUAGACUUUUCACCUAUGGAAGGGUAAAGAAUAAAAUUAUGUGGUGUUUUCUUUAACCGUAGCUGACAGCAAGGAGAGAAAGCAGAAACUUCCUUUGGCUUUAUCAUAAUGCUGAUGAGGAGGAAGAGGGGAAGAAUCAAGAGUGCUUCAACCUUUGCAUGGAAA